rnacentral:rRNA from 1 species
AUAUUUGACAAUGGGCGAAGGCCUGAUCCAGCCAUGCCGCGUGUGUGAAGAAGGUCUACGGAUUGUAAAGCAUUUUAAGUUGGGAGGAAGGACAGUAAGCUAAUACGUUGCUGUUUUGACGUUACCGACAGAAUAAGCACCGGCUAACUCCGUGCCAGCAGCCGCGGUAAUACGAAGGGUGCAAGCGUUAAUCGGAAUUACGCGGCGUAAAGCGCGCGUAGGUGGUUUGUUAAGUUGGAAGUGAAAGCCCCGGGCUCAACCUGGGAACUGCUUUCAAAACUGGCAAGCUAGAGUAUGGCAGAGGGUGGUGGAAUUUCCUGUGUAGCGGUGAAAUGCGUAGAUAUAGGAAGGAACAUCAGUGGCGAAGGCGACUACCUGGACUGAUACUGACACUGAGGUGCGAAAGCGUGGGGAGCAAACAG